AAUAAACGCUGGCGGCGUGCCUAACACAUGCAAGUCGAGCGAGAAAGCUCCUUCGGGAGUUAGUAAAGCGGCGAACGGGUGAGCAACACGUGAGAAUCUACCCUUUAGUGAAGAAUACCCUCGAGAAAUCGAGGCUAAUACUGCAUACGUCCCUUCGGGGAGAAAGAUGGCCUCUUUGCUAUCGCUAAAGGAUGAGCUUGCGUACUAUUAGCUAGUUGGCGGGUAAAGCCCACCAAGGCAAUGAUGGUUAACCGGCCUGAGAGGGUGUACGGUCACACUGGAACUUAGACACGGUCCAGACUCCUACGGGAGGCAGCAGUGAGGAAUCUUGCGCAAUGGGCGAAAGCCUGACGCAGCGACGCCGCGUGGAGGAUGACGGUUUUCG
rnacentral:rRNA from 1 species